rnacentral:rRNA from 1 species
UACGUAGGGGGCUAGCGUUGUCCGGAAUCAUUGGGCGUAAAGAGCGUGUAGGCGGUCCGGUAAGUCCGCUGUGAAAGUCGGGGGCUCAACCCUCGAAUGCCGGUGGAUACUGUCGGGCUAGAGUGCGGAAGAGGCGAGUGGAAUUCCUGGUGUAGCGGUGAAAUGCGCAGAGUAUCAGGAGGAACACCUAUUGCGAAGGCAGCUCGCUGGGACGUAACUGACGCUGAGGAGCGAAAGCAUGGGGAGUGAACAGG